AGCGGCGGAUGGGUGAGUAACACGUGGGGAACCUGCCCCUAAGUCUGGGAUACCAUUUGGAAACAGGUGCUAAUACCGGAUAAUAAAGCAGAUCGCAUGAUCAGCUUUUGAAAGGCGGCGUAAGCUGUCGCUAAGGGAUGGCCCCGCGGUGCAUUAGCUAGUUGGUAAGGUAACGGCUUACCAAGGCGACGAUGCAUAGCCGAGUUGAGAGACUGAUCGGCCACAUUGGGACUGAGACACGGCCCAAACUCCUACGGGAGGCAGCAGUAGGGAAUCUUCCACAAUGGACGCAAGUCUGAUGGAGCAACGCCGCGUGAGUGAAGAAGGUUUUCGGAUCGUAAAGCUCUGUUGUUGGUGAAGAAGGAUAGAGGUAGAAACUGGCCUUUAUUUGACGGUAAUCAACCAGAAAGUCACGGCUAACUACGUGCCAGCAGCCGCGGUAAUACGUAGGUGGCAAGCGUUGUCCGGAUUUAUUGGGCGUAAAGCGAGCGCAGGCGGAAAAAUAAGUCUAAUGUGAAAGCCCUCGGCUUAACCGAGGAACUGCAUCGGAAACUGUUUUUCUUGAGUGCAGAAGAGGAGAGUGGAACUCCAUGUGUAGCGGUGGAAUGCGUAGAUAUAUGGAAGAACACCAGUGGCGAAAGGCGGCUCUCUGGUCUGCAACUGACGCUGAGGCUCGAAAGCAUGGGUAGCGAACAGGAUUAGAUACCCUGGUAGUCCAUGCCGUAACGAUGAGUGCUAGUGU
rnacentral:rRNA from 1 species